rnacentral:rRNA from 1 species
UACAGAGGGGGCAAGCGUUGUUCGGAAUUACUGGGCGUAAAGGGCUCGUAGGCGGCCAACUAAGUCAUACGUGAAAUCCCUCGGCUUAACCGGGGAACUGCGUCUGAUACUGGAUGGCUUGAGUUCGGGAGAGGGAUGCGGAAUUCCAGGUGUAGCGGUGAAAUGCGUAGAUAUCUGGAGGAACACCGGUGGCGAAGGCGGCAUCCUGGACCGAUACUGACGCUGAUGAGCGAAAGCCAGGGGAGCAAACGGG